rnacentral:lncRNA from 1 species
GGAUUAGGGUACAAAUGCUAUAGUUUACCAACAAAAGGUACAAGUGCCAUGGACUAAUGAUCUAGAAGUCUAGAACUGGUCCUGAACUACCAGCAACAAGUUGGCAUUCUUACCGAAAUUAAUAACAAGUUGGCUAGGGUUGCUAGGUUUAACUUUCCACCACCAUCUUUGAUAAGUUCAAACUUAGAUGACUGUUGCAGGAGCUCAUAUAUAUAUAUAUAUAUAUAGUUUCGAAACAGAUCAUACAUAUAUGAUUUCUUGUUUUUGAGCUUUUGUUUUAUUUGCCUUGGAAUAGGAGUG